AGUGAACGCUGGCGGUAGGCCUAACACAUGCAAGUCGAACGGCAGCACAGUAAGAGCUUGCUCUUACGGGUGGCGAGUGGCGGACGGGUGAGGAAUACAUCGGAAUCUACUUUUUCGUGGGGGAUAACGUAGGGAAACUUACGCUAAUACCGCAUACGACCUACGGGUGAAAGCAGGGGAUCUUCGGACCUUGCGCGAUUGAAUGAGCCGAUGUCGGAUUAGCUAGUUGGCGGGGUAAAGGCCCACCAAGGCGACGUUCCGUAGCUGGUCUGAGAGGAUGAUCAGCCACACUGGAACUGAGACACGGUCCAGACUCCUACGGGAGGCGGCAGUGGGGAAUAUUGGACAAUGGGCGCAAGCCUGAUCCAGCCAUACCGCGUGGGUGAAGAAGGCCUUCGGGUUGUAAAGCCCUUUUGUUGGGAAAGAAAAGCAGCAGGUUAAUACCCCGCUGUUCUGACGGUACCCAAAGAAUAAGCACCGGCUAACUUCGUG
rnacentral:rRNA from 1 species